rnacentral:rRNA from 1 species
AACGUAGGAGACAAGCGUUAUCCGGAAUUACUGGGCGUAAAGCGCGAGUAGGCGGAUCAGCAAGUCCUUUGUGAAAGCUUCUGGCUAAACUGGAAGAGGUCGAAGGAUACUGCCGGUCUAGAGUGGGGUAGAGGGACACGGAAUUCCGGGUGUAGUGGUGAAAUGCGUAGAGAUCCGGAGGAACACCAGUGGCGAAGGCGGUGUCCUAGGCCUCAACUGACGCUAAGGCGCGAAAGCAUGGGGAGCGAACGGG